GGCUCAUUCGUCUAGUGAUUAGGACACUGGCCUCUCACGCCGGCAACACGAGUUCAAGUCUCGUAUGAGUCACCA
rnacentral:tRNA from 1 species